AUUUUAACUUAUUGUAUAAUUAUUUGUAAAACAUUAUUCCCCUUUUAUGCUUAGUAUGAGUUUCAAAAAAGCUUAAUUUAUGAUAGUUUAUAGUACUGUAAAGGAAAGUUGAAAAAAAUGAAAACUUAAUUUCAUCAAAGAAGAUAUAUAUAAUCGUACCUUGUGUAUCAGGGGUCAGUAAAAUCAGCUAGAUAAAUAGACCUCCCGAAAGGAAAUGAGCUAACCCCGAGAAACCCUCACUGUGGCAAAAGUGUAAUGAACUCGAGGUUAGAAGCAAAACGUUAACCGCAUUUCCUUUUAUCUGGUUUUUAAGAAAUGAAUUCAAUUCAAUUUUUAUUAGUUAUCUGGCCUUAACACCCAAUAAAUUAAUAAAAAUAAAAUUUUAGAGGGACGAGCUUCUAAAAUUAAUAUUACAAGAAAAAUCCAAACAAAAAUUUAUCUAAGGCCUAGAAUCAGCCAAAGAAAAUUUUACGUUAUAGUUAAAUAUAAAUUAUAAUAAUAUUUUCUCUUCCUUAAUGCUUAUAUUAAAAAACAUAAAUAAACAAAAAAUUUAUAGAAAUAAUACUGUCAUGAGUACAAAAUAAUGUAUAAUAUUACCUUACAAAAAAUUUAAAUUUUUAUUCAAACUAGAUUGAUGAAAGGAAUUAGGCAACCAUUUUUCCGACUGUUUAACAAAACAUUUCCUCAAGAAAAAUUUGAGGUAAGACCUGCCCAAUGUUCUUAUCAAUGGCCGCGGUAUUUUGACCGUGCGAAGGUAGCAUAAUCAUUAGUCUCUUAAUUAGAGGCUUGUAUGAACGGUUAAACGAGAAAAAACUGUCUCUCAUCAAAUUAUGGAAUUUUAUUUUUAAGUGAAAAAGCUUAAAUAAAUCUGAAGGACGAUAAGACCCUAUAGAGCUUUAUUUCCUAACUCUGUGAACCCCAUAGUAUAAAAGUUUAACAGAAUAAAGAAAUUUUGUUGGGGCGACAAAAAGACAAAAAUCAACUCUUAUUUUUUAAACAAACAAAAUUGAACUAUUGAUCCUUACAGAAAGAUCAAAUGAACAAGUUACCUUAGGGAUAACAGCGUAAUCCUUUUCAAGAGUUCUCAUCAACAAAAGGGUUUGCGACCUCGAUGUUGGAUUAAGAAUUUGCUAGGGUGCAGAAGCUCUAGUAAAAGGUCUGUUCGACCUUUAAAAUCUUACAUGAUCUGAGUUCAGACCGGCGUGAGCCAGGUUGGUUUCUAUCCUCAGACUAAAAAGCGUCAUUCUAGUACGAAAGGACCGAAUGGUGUAGAUAAUCUAAAACCAAGAUGAAUUUUAACCUUCAC
rnacentral:rRNA from 1 species